rnacentral:tRNA from 7 species
GUGGCUGUAGCUCAGUUGGCAGAGCACCGGGUUGUGGUCCCGGUUGUCGUGGGUUCAAUUCCCAUCAGUCACCCCG